UAAAAUAAUAACUUUUUUGAAAUAUAUUUUUUUCUUUUAAGUCAUUUGCAAAAAAAGACAUUUGUUUUACGAUUUGGAUGCCUCUUUGGAAAAAUGCUAAUAUGUAUAUAUAUAUUUAUACUUUGUUUUAUAUUAACAGGGAAUAAACAAUGAUGUUUUUGAAAAAUGGUACUAGUGCUCGCAAGUAUAAAUUUGAUCUCUUUGAUUCAAAUAAGGUUAUAUCAGGUAUGAUAUUGUUAUUGAUUUCUUUUAUUAACCUUAUGGUAGUGACCUUUGAAUUCUAAUGCUAUAUUGAAUUUUCGUGCGAAAAACCUGUAAAUCACCCUUGUCCCCAGUGCCUUUGCGUGGCUUGUACGAAACUGUUUUUGUAAACAUAGUUUUGUUAAUAAUUGAGUGAGAACGGAGAAGAACACAAAAAAUUUCAAUAUUAUUUUUUCUAACAUUUUAAGUUAUUUCGAUAAAGGAAAAGGUAGGUAAAUUUCGAAUCCUUUUUGAGUGCUUUUUCGAACGCACAUUUUAAAUUUACAUUGAAACUUUUAACGCGUGUUUUUAUGUUCAGCACAAUGGAGACUGAAAAGAGAUACAUGGAAGAAAAAUUUCAGGAAUGGUUGGAAGUUGAAAGGACUAAACGGAAUUCCGUAAUAAUGCCCGAACAGACUUAUAAAACAAUGGUAGAUUUUCUAUGUGGAAGAAUAGACAACGUUCCACGUGCUAUGAAAAGAAAAUUGCGAAGAAAAAAAUUCCAAGUGAUGAGUUAUCCUACACUUGGUUUAUCGGGUGUUUUGUGCUCUCCAUUUCCCGAUGUCAGAACAUUUUUAUAUAUAUCUAAUUUUGGAAAAACUAAAGUCACAAUUAUUUUUUUUAUAAACAUUUCUACUUUUAAGAAAUUUUGUUUCAGGCUCGACAUGGUCAUAUGGUGUUCUCAAUUUUUGGAUAGCUUCGGUCUAGAUGUUCUUAUGAGCUUAAGUUCUUAAGAAAGAAGGUUUAUAAAAUUGCCAACUCAAAUAAUUUUACGGUAUUUUAGGGCGAUUCUCCUCUGGGAAAAUAUCGUCGCGUAGCAACAGACCGACAGAUGUUUCACAUUAUCAAUAGAGUACACCGCCAAGAAGUUGGUCACCAAGGGGUUCAUAAAACGUUUGAAAAGAUAGCACGCACCUAUGAUAACGUUACUAGAGACGCUGUUGGUGCUUAUAUAAAGCUUUGCACAACUUGCUGUCUGAAAUCCAGUCAAAUAAAGAAAGCUCCAUUGAAGCCGAUUAUCACUACAGGAUUCUUACAGCGUGUACAGGUAUU